AGAUUGAACGCUGGCGGCAGGCCUAACACAUGCAAGUCGAGCGGCAGCACGGGUACUUGUACCUGGUGGCGAGCGGCGGACGGGUGAGUAAUGCCUAGGAAUCUGCCUGGUAGUGGGGGGAUAACGCUCGGAAACGGACGCUAAUACCGCAUACGUCCUACGGGAGAAAGCAGGGGGACCUUCGGGCCUUGCGCUAUCAGAUGAGCCUAGGUCGGAUUAGCUAGUUGGUGGGGUAAAGGCUCACCAAGCCAACGAUCUGUAGCUGGUCUGAGAGGACGACCAGCCACACUGGGACUGAGACACGGCCCAGACUCCUACGGGAGGCAGCAGUGGGGAAUUUUGGACAAGUGGGCGCAAGCCUGAUCCAGCAAUGCCGCGUGCAGGAAGAAGGCCUUCGGUUGUAAACUGCUUUGUACGGAACGAACGGUCCUAGGUUAAUACCGUGGGCUAAGUGACGGUACGUAAGGAUAAGCACCGGCUAACUACGUGCCAGCAGCCG
rnacentral:rRNA from 1 species